UACGGGGGGGGUGAAGCGUUGUUCGGAAUUACUGGGCGUAAAGGGCUCGUAGGCGGCCAACUAAGUCGGACGUGAAAUCCCUCAGCUUAACUGGGGAACUGCGUCCGAUACUGGAUGGCUUGGAUUUGGGAGAGGGAUGCGGAAUUCCAGGUGUAGCGGUGAAAUGCGUGAGAUCGGCAGGAACGCCCGUGGCGAAAGCGGGCGCCUGGACCCCACCUGGACGCUGAGACGCGAAAGCCAGGGGAGCGAACGGG
rnacentral:rRNA from 1 species